rnacentral:misc_RNA from 1 species
UGAGUACAUUUCAAAAUAAUAUUAUAAGAGUUUUUGUACAACUGCUCGAACGUAUUUACAUAUAAAUAGUUACAUAAUUACAUUAAAAUCUAAUGUCUAGAGGCAUACCUAUAAUAUUCCCAAAAUUAAUCUCAACACGUCUUCAAGACACAGCUUCAAGUGAUCUCACUCAGCUGCUCUAUCCUUUCUUUUACCUUCAAAUCCAUUCUUAUUCUCACUAACUUAAUGCAAGACUGAUCUGCAAGGGCCAUCUUCAAAGUCAUUCUCACUUCUCACCAGAGGGAGAUCAAAUCGUGUACAUUCCAUCCAUAACACCAUAACAAAUUAAAUUCCGAAAGGGCCAUCUUCAGCUUUGUUCUAACCUCUUAUAUGAGGAAGAUCACAUUAUCAAUGUGCACGUACCAUGGUAUUCAAAACAAAGCUAACACCAGUGUCUUCUCAACAAAUGAGAGACGGGUAAUAACCAUGUCGAGCAUUAGUAGUGAGAUAUAAAAUAACAUCAGAAAAUUCAUUACCCUUUUUGUGAGUAUAUAAUCACAAUACAGUCAUUUCCAUGUCAAUCUCAGUAAGCAAUAUUUUUCAUUUGCCAUGCAAAUCCCAUUUCAAUCAUAAUUUUCUAAAACCAAUUUCAUUCACACCAUAACAAUAUUCAAUAAUUGUUGAGAUAAAAUCAACAUUUGAUAAACAUAAUACAUGAAAACAAUAGAAUCAUUUAAUCAAUUGAAAUAUGUAAAACACUUAUUAAUUAAGGACUAGUUGUGCACAAACCUCUUUAGUUGUCUUAACCUAAUCCAAUUUUUUCUCUUUUCUUGAGUGGAUCCUUUCCAACUGAAACACAAAAUUUUAAAGUGUUUCAAUACCCCUCCAAACUAUUUCUAAUAAUUAAUUCUAAUAAUUUCAUUUUUGCAUAUUAAAUUUACCUAUUAGGUAUCAUAAGUUGAAUUCUUGUAUUUAUGGUUAUGGGGUUACUAUUCAAUUGAUUAGUUAUGUAAAAUAUUAACUUUUUCAUAAUUAAUAGGUAUUCCAUUUCUAAAUAUACUAAAAUACCACAUUUUGGGUUUUACAUUUGUUGGCAUUGGUUGUCAAAUUCAAUUCAAAGCUUCCUAAGAGAAAUUCCAAAUUUUCAGUUUUUGUCUCUAAAGUUUAUUGUUCCAUUGGACCAUUCUACAAUAGAAAUUUGGCUAAACUUUCUUAAUCAAAAUUAUUUCUUAAUGUGUUUACUUUAAUUCUCCUUUUGAAUCACUCUAUAU